ACAGGUUCUUGCUCAGGAGCUCUGACUGAGGAUGGUCUGAGAGAUGGGGCACAACUUUCCAGUUCUUUGUCUAGGCUAUUUUUAAGAGACCCUAGGCUGAUGUACUGAACAAACCUGUGAGACAACACAGGGAAGAAAAUACUCUCCCUAAUGGAGAAGCAAGUAAAGCACGGAGAACAGAAAAGCUGUGAGCUACGUCAUAUGUGAAGCCAAGAAGUGAACCCAGACCUGAGCUCCAUGAUGGUGCCUCACCACAAACCCAAGUGCCUUCGCUGUACACCAGGUUACAAUAGAUCUUUGUGGCUCAGCAGAAGCUACAGUCAGAGGUGAAGGACAUGGCAUAAAAUGAACAUGAGUUACAUGCACUGAAUGCAGGCAGCUCUUGGACAAGCUACCAAAAAGUUCACACUGCUACCAAAGCAGAGAAUAUUCCUCUGAGAAGUACUGAACUUACACGAGCGGGAGAAAGUCUGCAGCAAGCUGAAUUGCCAAAGAUAAAUUAGACACUCUAGCCAAAAGAAAACAGAGCUGACAACAACAACAGAUGGGAAGAGGAGGGAAGGAGAACAGGAACACAGCAAGAAGACAUGAACCAUAAGGAAAAAAGCAUUCUAGUCUGUGGGAAGGCCUAGGUAACCAGUUAAUUACUCAUUAAGCGUGUACAACUAGGCUCCCUAACAGAAUGCAGGCACGCAGUUUUGACCUCUGAAGUCAAGAAGCCUUUUGCAGAUGUUGAAUUUUAGAUGGAAAGACUAAAGCUAUUUAACAAGUGGAAAACUUCAGUGCAGAGCAAAGACAAUCCAAGUACUUCUGGAAGAUGCCCACUGGAGAGGAAAAACGGAACCUCAGCAAAAACUCGGCCUUCAGCCAAAGGGAAUGCAGACUCAUGCCAUACUUCCCAGCAAAGAAAAAAGAAAUCUCUCUACUGCAGUUCACAGAGAUCUUCCACCUGAAGUAUGAAAGCAAAGAAAGACCCUCACUCAUAGAUGUUAAAGGCCAACAGCAAGACAACAGAGCAUUACUUGCCAGGAAAAGGAAAGCAGCAUUCUAGAACACAACCCUUAAUAAACGUGUAAUCAAGCUCAAGUAAUCAUGCCUGUGCUCCAAUAUAAUGAAAUGGCUACAGUGUAUUGCAGGUUCAGUUUGCCAAAUGCUGCACUUCUUCAGAGUAAGUAAAUGACAACACCUUUGCUAUCAUUUCAAACUGUUUCCCAAACUGAUCACCAACAGCUAUACAUUCUCUAUUAUAUUGGCUGUAAAAAGAGUUUUUAUGGCUUUCAAAAGGGUUUUCCAGUUUGGAAAAGAUACCAUCAAACCUAGAAAAGACCCGUCUUUUGUCUUGCUGGACUGGAGGAGCAUUUGUAAAACAAACUACACUAGUGCAUCCUGUGAGAUGCUCAGCAGCUUCAUCAGUCACAGGCCCAGGCCCUGUGCAUUCUGCAUCAUCAGGAGCAAACAGCAGGAGUUCUUUGUCUCCAAGAUCAGAGUUAAGACAACUGUUCUCUUUUAAGUUGUGAAUGAAUGUUGUAAGAGCAGAAGUAGAGGUAGUAUUAGACCCUAAUAAGCAAUACCAGUUCAUUCACAUUGCUAAUGCAAAUCAGUAUGAAUGUUAAUAAUGUUUCUAUUUGGAAUCUUAAUACUACAGAAACAAGUAUCUUGGUACAGCAUACAUUUUCUUUUUUCUGAGAAAGAAAACUAACUUAUGUUAACUUAGUGUUCCAGGAUAUUUUUAUUUUAAUCAUAAUCUUUUUUUACCUACAUAGAACUUUCAAUAACUGUAUAUUUCUCUUUCAUUGUUUUCCUGUACUACUACAACUCAAAACAGAAAAAAAACACCAUUUCCCAUC